AUGGACGACGAGGCUAAGAAGUUCAUAAGGGAGCUCAUGGGGGAGCUUUGCACUAACAUCAAGGGGUCGAUUAGCGACCUCAGCGCCAAGGUCGACGCUAUCCAAGUGUGGAAGCCGGAGUUGGAGGCCCACGUCUCUGACCUGCAGGAGGCGGUGGGUGCCCUUCAUAGGGCGGCGCCGGCGUACCAGCCCACGCCGUCAUCGACAUUCCAGAGGGGACUGGCAAGGCGGUGGCAAACCCCAAGGCCGCCGCACCCAUGGCACCAUGGAGGCCAUCUUCUGGGCCCGUUGGCCACGACGAUCACCAUCAAACCCGGGGGCAGUUCCAAGGAACUAGCCCGGGCCUUGGCCUCGUCGUCCAUGGGAGGGGGCCAUAACCAUGCUUUACCGGCCAUGACCUUCCCACAGUUUGAUGGGGAGAACCCGUGGCUGUGGAAGGGGUUAUGCGAGCAAUACUUUUCUAUGUACGGGGUAGACCAGUCGUUCUGGUUGCCCAUGGCCAUGCUAAAAAAUUUCCACCACCACCGCAAUUUGGUUGCAGUCCGUCCAGCGCAAGGUUAUUGGCCUGGAUUGGGAAGAGGUCUCCCUUUGUACUUUUUGACGAGGUUUGUGGAGGUCCUACGCGACGAUAUCCGGGCGGUCGUGCUCAUUCAACGACCGGUGGAUCUGGAGGCGGCUGGCUCCUUGGCUCUCUUGCAACAGGAGCUGGCUGAGGCUUCCGAAGGGAGCGACCGCGUCGCCAGGAGGGGGGCCUGUCGCGCAUUACCAGGACAGUCGGGGUCCUACCCGUGGCAGCUGCUCUUCCUCGCGGAGGAGGGCUAG
rnacentral:rRNA from 1 species